rnacentral:lncRNA from 1 species
CCCCCCUUCCCCUGGCACCCCCUUUCCCCUAGCACCCCCUCACUUCUCUCCUGGUGUCGCUUCGCUCUGCAGCCACCUCCCGGAGACUGUCGCUCAGAGCCGCGGCCUCCCUCUGGUGCGCGGCGACCGCGUCCUCAAACUGGGCCUGCAGGGCUUUCAGCUCCGCGUCCGUGGCGCCCAUGGCGGCCUGGAGGGAGCGGCAGGCGGUGGCCUCGGGGGGCUGCUGGGGUGCAUGGGGGGGCAAGACAGGCGGACCCCGGCCCCAAGCCGCGGCGGUGGGGGGCGAGCAGGGAGCUAGGGCCACAGCCAGGCCCGUGCCCACGUCCCGGUGCACACAGGGGCCCCGUGGAGGCCCCGCCACCACACUCAGGCGGCCACACGGUCCCCCGGACUCGAGUCUGCUCUGCGGGGCCUUAGCCUUCGGGGGGACCCCGUCCAGCAGGCCCGGGGGGGCGGGGGGUGGGUGCCCGUCCCCGCUGCUGCUGCGCUGCGGUGGCUGCUCGGAGGGCCGCGCACGGAGAAGGCGGAAGUCACGGAGCAGAUCCUGGGGUGACCGCACCCACCCAGCGGGGCGGCCCCCACCUCUGCCACAAGGAAAGCGUGAGUGAGAUCCCGGAGCGGGGUCCCAGCGGGGCAGGGUCCCUGUGCGCACCCCCUGCCGCCCCACGGUGUGCGGGCCGGGAGCCGAGGCCCAGAGGAGGGGCGGCCGGCCUGAGCCACGCCUCGGACGGGGAGGCCGGGUGCUGGGUCCAGUCCCUCCUGGGCCUCUCUCCGGAGCCGAGGCUGCGCUUGCGUGUGUAUGAGUGUGCGCGUGCCCACGCUGACCAUGUGAGCGCCACGUGCCCCUUGGAGCCGGGGAGGUGUGGCCCCUCUGGGCACCCUCCCAAGGUGCCCUCGGAGCCUACGCCCAGGAGGGUGCUGGAGGGCGGGCGCCCCACUGACCUGGAUCACGGCGUCCAGCCCGGGUGGGGACUGCGGCGCAGCGGCCUCCCCAUCGCCGGGCUCGCUGGAGGCGGAGCUCAUCUGGGUCGGAUGCUCGGGGGCCGGGGUGGGGGGCCGGGGCUGGGGGGCACAGGGCUCGGGGGGCCGGGGCUGGGCCGCCCGGUGAGUCUCCUCCUGGAGCCCUGGCCGGGCCGGACCUGCUUCAGGGCAGCAGCUGCACACCUGCGGCACCUGGCUCCUCCGUCAGGGCGCCCAGCUGCCCCCUCUGGGUUGGCGACCUGAGUGGCCAGCUAAGGGCAGAGGCGUUGCCUUGGCAACCACGACGCAGGGAUUGAGUUUCCCUGGAAACAGGAGUGCCGCCCUGUUGCCGUGGGGACCGCAGAGUGCUGUUGUCUGGAAGCCGUUUCCUGGAGACCUGGAGGCGCCCUGGUGGCGCUGUGCACCGGAGCCACCGCGCGGGGCAGGGGGCUGGCC